rnacentral:rRNA from 1 species
AACGAACGCUGGCGGCAGGCUUAACACAUGCAAGUCGAACGGUUGUAGCAAUACAGCAGUGGCAGACGGGUGAGUAACACGUGGGAACCUUCCUAGGGGUACGGAACAACUCAGGGAAACUUGAGCUAAUACCGUAUACGUCCGUGAGGAGAAAGAUUUAUCACCCUUAGACGGGCCCGCGUCGGAUUAGCUAGUUGGUGGGGUAACGGCCUACCAAGGCGACGAUCCGUAGCUGAUCUUAGAGGAUGAUCAGCCACACUGGGACUGAGACACGGCCCAGACUCCUACGGGAGGCAGCAGUGGGGAAUCUUGGACAAUGGGCGCAAGCCUGAUCCAGCCAUGCCGCGUGAGUGAAGAAGGUCUUCGGAUUGUAAAGCUCUUUUACCAGGGACGAUAAUGACGGUACCUGGAGAAUAAAGCCCGGCAAACUUCGUG